GAAGCUAUGAACUUGGGUCUUCAACUUGGGUUUCUGUGACUUAAUAAUGGUCUUCAAAUGACCAUUUAAACCUUACACUUAGCAGAGUAAAUAGUCUGACAAUGUCAUAUAUCAGGUAUUUCUUAGGAAAUCUAUGCUUUUUCCAGGAGCUGUAUUUAACACAGAAAUAACUCGGAGUGAACUUAUUGGAAAGCCUGGUGAGGUGGGGGCUCACACUUGCUGUCCCAGCACUGGAAAGGCUGCAGGACUGACAGGAGUUUGAACUUAGCCUGGACUACACAGUGAGUUCCAGGGGACUUGGACGAUAGAUGGAGACCUGUCCCAAAACCAAACCAAACCAAACCAAAAAUCAAUUUAAUGAGACUGUCUUAGCCCAUCUGCCUUCAGCAGACAUGAUAAAGGUCACCAUUAAGUUCCGUUUUUUAGGGAGGACCCAGUGCUGAUUCCUGUCUUAGAGUUUCACGUUAAGAAUGUUCUGUAACAGUUGGAGCCGCCUCUCACACACUUGGUUCCCACUGCUGCAGGGCAGUGUCCUAGAGUUUCCAUAGCUCAAAGCCACACACAUCAGCUCUGCUUGGUUUCUGAGGGCCAGGGUAGGGCCUAGAAAGGAAGCUACCCUGGGUCUGAGGCUGCUGGGAAACUUUCAAGAUGUGACAGGCUUUAUCUGACUAAGACAACUUUCUCUUACAACAUGGUUCUUCCCUUUGGACCCUUGUGUCCCUGUCACCUGCCAUCCCUGCAUAGAAGAUCUGAUUCAAGCUCCAGAUCCUUUCUGAGCUCAGCCCUUCUGCCGAAGAAGCACAGAGAACACGUUGUCAUCUCCACUAAAAAUCAAGGUCAAUGGUAUGGACUUGGAUCAAAGAGAGAGAAAGGACUGGGAAAGAAGGACAGCACUUAGAUACCAGUUGUGAGCCUGACCCCAGCUCAGAGUCAGAAAGGAGAGGGAGAAUACAUCAUUCCUUGCCCUUAUAUCUCCUGUGUGAGUGCCUCUCACCCAGUUACAGACCAUUUUCCUACUUCCUGGUGCCAAAUAUAAGACAGCGCUUUCACUUGUUCUACAUGUUUCCCUAAAAGGGGAAGAGUAACAGUUGCUGCUGAUUUUGUGAGCUUGACUACAGAAGUGAGAAAGUACCAUGAACAUAUGUAUGUGAGGGUGGGUUUCAAUAAAGUUUUAUUCACAAAAA